AUGUGAACGUUACCAAACUGUUGCCUCGGCGGGAUCUCUGCCCCGGGUGCGUCGCAGCCCCGGACCAAGGCGCCCGCCGGAGGACCAACCAAAACUCUUAUUGUAUACCCCCUCGCGGGUUUUUUUUAUAAUCUGAGCCUUCUCGGCGCCUCUCGUAGGCGUUUCGAAAAUGAAUCAAAACUUUCAACAACGGAUCUCUUGGUUCUGGCAUCGAUGAAGAACGCAGCGAAAUGCGAUAAGUAAUGUGAAUUGCAGAAUUCAGUGAAUCAUCGAAUCUUUGAACGCACAUUGCGCCCGCCAGUAUUCUGGCGGGCAUGCCUGUCCGAGCGUCAUUUCAACCCUCGAACCCCUCCGGGGGGUCGGCGUUGGGGAUCGGCCCUGCCUUGGCGGUGGCCGUCUCCGAAAUACAGUGGCGGUCUCGCCGCAGCCUCUCCUGCGCAGUAGUUUGCACACUCGCAUCGGGAGCGCGGCGCGUCCACAGCCGUUAAACACCCAACUUCUGAAAUGUUGACCUCGGAUCAGGUAGGAAUACCCGCUGAACUUAAGCAUAUCAAUAAGCGGAGGAA
rnacentral:rRNA from 1 species